AACGAACGCUGGCGGCAUGCCUAACACAUGCAAGUCGAACGAGACCUUCGGGUCUAGUGGCUCACGGGUGCGUAACGCGUGGGAACCUGCCCUUAGGUUCGGAAUAACUCCCCGAAAGGGGUUCUAAUACCGGAUAAUGUCUUCGGACCAAAGAUUUAUCGCCUUUGGAUGGGCCCGCGUUGGAUUAGCUAGUUGGUAGGGUAAAAGCCUACCAAGGCGACGAUCCAUAGCUGGUCUGAGAGGAUGAUCAGCCACACUGGGACUGAGACACGGCCCAGACUCCUCCGGGAGGGAGCAGUGGGGAAGAUUGGACGAUGCGCGAAAGCCUGAUCCAGCAAUGCCGCGUGAGUGAUGAAGGCCUUAGGGUUGUAAAGCUCUUUUACCCGGGAUGAUAAUGACAGUACCGGGAGAAUAAGCUCCGGCUAACUCCGU
rnacentral:rRNA from 1 species